rnacentral:rRNA from 1 species
GUGCCAGCAGCCGCGGUAAUACGUAGGGAGCGAGCGUUAUCCGGAAUUAUUGGGCGUAAAGGGUGCGUAGACGGCAAUACAAGUCUUUUGUUAAAGUGCUAAGCUCAACUUAGUGAUGCAAAAGAUACUGUAUAGCUAGAGUAUGGAAGAGGCAAGUGGAACUCCAUGUGUAGCGGUAAAAUGCGUAAAUAUAUGGAAGAACACCAGUGGCGAAGGCGGCUUGCUGGUCCGAUACUGACGUUGAGGCACGAAAGCGUGGGGAGCAAACAGGAUUAGAUACCCUGGUAGUCCACGCCCUAAACGAUGAGUACUAAGUGUUGGUGAGAAAUCAGUGCUGAAGUUAACGCAUUAAGUACUCCGCCUGAGUAGUACGUACGCAAGUAUGAAACUUAAAGGAAUUGACGGGAGCCCGCACAAGCGGUGGAGCAUGUUGUUUAAUUCGACGAUACGCGAAGAACCUUACCAGGUCUUGACAUCUAGUUGUUAGGUAUGGAGACAUAUCGAGAUAGACUAAGACAGGUGGUGCAUGGUUGUCGUCAGCUCGUGUCGUGAGAUGUUGGGUUAAGUCCCGCAACGAGCGCAACCCUUAUUGCUAGUUACUAAUAUUAAGUUAAGGACUCUAGCAAGACUGCCAGUGAUAAAUUGGAGGAAGGUGGGGAUGACGUCAAAUCAUCAUGCCCUUUAUGACCUGGGCUACAAACGUGCUACAAUGGCUGAAACAAAGAGAAGCGAAGCGGUGACGCAGAGCAAACCUCAAAAAAGCAGUCUCAGUUCGGAUUGAAGUCUGCAACUCGACUUCAUGAAGUUGGAAUCGCUAGUAAUCGCGAAUCAGAAUGUCGCGGUGAAUACGUUCCCGGGCUUUGCACACACCGCCCGU